CCUGGUGGCUCAGAUGGUAAAGAAUCUGCCUGCAAUGCAGAAGACCCAGGUUUGAUCCCUGGGUCAGGA
rnacentral:tRNA from 1 species